rnacentral:lncRNA from 1 species
CAACCCUUUUUUUCUCUUGUUUACCAGAUGGAACGAAGUCUGUUUGUGGAAACACCCUUCCCCUCUGUUUACUUGGACCUGAUUUUGAAAGUAACAAGUCACUUUAUUUGGGCUGGAGGAAAAAGCACUAAACCAGAUGUUGAGGUGACCGGGAUUCCUGGAAGACAUUCUUCUCUCCAACGAGACACAUGAUGCAUGAAGUAGGAGCCCCUGGCAAGGAGCCCAGGCUGCCAUGGCCUCGCUCGCUCCUGCUUCCCGGCAUGGCCCCGAGGCUAGCUGCCUCUGUACUGCCUGAGCAUCGUCCCCUGGCGUGUCACCAGACUACCCACUACCUGUGCUUGCACCUGCAGGUGGGCAGUUCAGUCGUUGCAGGCUGAAGCUCCCUGUCACAGGAGUCCAUCAGCACUGGAGUUUACCAAAUGGCCCAGUCCAGGAAGCAUGCUCAUGGCAAUACCCGGAGUCUCCACUGCAAGACCAGAGUGACGGAGGCAGCAGAGCUCCUCAGCAGGCCAGGAGUCUCCAGAGGCACUGCCGAAUGUCUAAGAAGCAACCUCAUUGUAUUCCCAAGACCUGGGAAUCCAGGUCUCGCAGAUACGAUGAUACAAUCUAUAGCCAGGACAUCUCUUCAUGUGUAGUUUUCAAUGAAUACUAGGAUAAGCAACUAUCCCAGUCUUCCCAGGAUUGAGGGGCUUCUCCAGAUGCUGCACUUCUGGUGCUAAAAAUGAGAAACUGAAAUGAAUUAGUCACCCAAGGAAUGCUGACCCUGUGCUAUAUGAUCACAUUUACUCUUUAAAGCAAUGCUUUGAGAACAAUUGAGCUGCAUAGUCCCUGCAAUCUUAUAAAGGCAUUUGGCCUGGAAGAUGCUCUGCAGCCAUGUGCCAAGAAUAACGGCUAUAGGGACAAUGUUUCAUUAACCCCAAAGCAGCAACCUGAACCUCUUACUGUACAAUAUCUGCUCCGUUCAGAAUUAGCUCGACUUGAGUCACAGGAUGAAGCUUACCAAAAGGAAUUUCCACGUCCAAGGAAGGAACCAAGAUCACUGAGAGGUUAUAGUAUGAAAAGUGAAGAGAAAAAACCUAUUCUAAACAUUUUAUUAAUUGUCAAUAAUUAUUUUAAAA